CAGCAGCCGCGGGAAUACGGAGGGUGCAAGCGUUAAUCGGAAUUACUGGGCGUAAAGCGCACGCAGGCGGCCUGUCAAGUCAGAUGUGAAAUCCCCGGGCUUAACCUGGGAACUGCAUUUGAAACUGGCAGGCUAGAGUCUUGUAGAGGGGGGUAGAAUUCUAGGUGUAGCGGUGAAAUGCGUAGAGAUCUGGAGGAAUACCGGUGGCGAAGGCGGCCCCCUGGACAAAGACUGACGCUCAGGUGCGAAAGCGUGGGGAGCAAACAGGAUUAGAGACCCCUGUAGUCCCUGUCUCUUAUAA
rnacentral:rRNA from 1 species